AUUGAACGCUGGCGGCAGGCUUAACACAUGCAAGUCGAACGAUGAUUAUCUAGCUUGCUAGAUAUGAUUAGUGGCGGACGGGUGAGUAACAUUUAGGAAUCUGCCUAGUAGUGGGGGAUAGCUCGGGGAAACUCGAAUUAAUACCGCAUACGACCUACGGGUGAAAGGGGGCGCAAGCUCUUGCUAUUAGAUGAGCCUAAAUCAGAUUAGCUAGUUGGUGGGGUAAAGGCCCACCAAGGCGACGAUCUGUAACUGGUCUGAGAGGAUGAUCAGUCACACCGGAACUGAGACACGGUCCGGACUCCUACGGGAGGCAGCAGUGGGGAAUAUUGGACAAUGGGGGCAACCCUGAUCCAGCCAUGCCGCGUGUGUGAAGAAGGCCUUUUGGUUGUAAAGCACUUUAAGCAGGGAGGAGAGGCUAAUGGUUAAUACCCAUUAGAUUAGACGUUACCUGCAGAAUAAGCACCGGCUAACUCUGUGCCAGCAGCCGCGGUAAUACAGAGGGUGCGAGCGUUAAUCGGAAUUACUGGGCGUAAAGCGAGUGUAGGUGGCUCAUUAAGUCACAUGUGAAAUCCCCGGGCUUAACCUGGGAACUGCAUGUGAUACUGGUGGUGCUAGAAUAUGUGAGAGGGAAGUAGAAUUCCAGGUGUAGCGGUGAAAUGCGUAGAGAUCUGGAGGAAUACCGAUGGCGAAGGCAGCUUCCUGGCAUAAUAUUGACACUGAGAUUCGAAAGCGUGGGUAGCAAACAGGAUUAGAUACCCUGGUAGUCCACGCCGUAAACGAUGUCUACUAGCCGUUGGGGUCCUUGAGACUUUAGUGGCGCAGUUAACGCGAUAAGUAGACCGCCUGGGGAGUACGGCCGCAAGGUUAAAACUCAAAUGAAUUGACGGGGGCCCGCACAAGCGGUGGAGCAUGUGGUUUAAUUCGAUGCAACGCGAAGAACCUUACCUGGUCUUGACAUAGUGAGAAUCCUGCAGAGAUGCGGGAGUGCCUUCGGGAAUUCACAUACAGGUGCUGCAUGGCUGUCGUCAGCUCGUGUCGUGAGAUGUUGGGUUAAGUCCCGCAACGAGCGCAACCCUUUUCCUUAUUUGCCAGCGGGUUAAGCCGGGAACUUUAAGGAUACUGCCAGUGACAAACUGGAGGAAGGCGGGGACGACGUCAAGUCAUCAUGGCUCUUACGACCAGGGCUACACACGUGCUACAAUGGUAGGUACAGAGGGUUGCUACACAGCGAUGUGAUGCUAAUCUCAAAAAGCCUAUCGUAGUCCGGAUUGGAGUCUGCAACUCGACUCCAUGAAGUCGGAAUCGCUAGUAAUCGCAGAUCAGAAUGCUGCGGUGAAUACGUUCCCGGGCCU
rnacentral:rRNA from 1 species